rnacentral:rRNA from 1 species
CCUACGGGGUGCAGCAGUGAGGAAUAUUGGUCAAUGGGCGAGAGCCUGAACUAGCCAAGUCGCGUGAGGGAAGACGGUCCUAUGGAUUGUAAACCUCUUUUGUCGGGGAGCAAAAAGGCCUCGUGAGGCCACAAGUGAGAGUACCCGAAGAAAAAGCAUCGGCUAACUCCGUGCCAGCAGCCGCGGUAAUACGGAGGAUGCGAGCGUUAUCCGGAUUUAUUGGGUUUAAAGGGUGCGCAGGCGGCCUGUUAAGUCAGCGGUAAAAGCCCGGGGCUCAACCCCGGCGAGCCGUUGAAACUGGCGGGCUGGAGUUGGAGAGAAGUACGCGGAAUGCGCGGUGUAGCGGUGAAAUGCUGAGAUAUCGCGCAGAACCCCGAUUGCGAAGGCAGCGUACCGGCUCCACACUGACGCUGAGGCACGAAAGCGUGGGUAUCGAACAGGAUUAGAUACCCUUGUAGUC